UUGCUCUAAGACUGCUCUAAUUUAGAGCCACCAUGACGCGAAGCCCACCGGCGGCUCAUCGUUGACACGGAGAGCCCCGGGAGGCCGUACCGACGGCACGCCGCUGCUUGUUCCCACCGCCCCCUCCAUCUGAUCUCCCUGUCCCUCUCGCCCGCCCGCAUUACACCUCCCGCCUCCAACGAGCAGCAGAUUCAUCAGCAGUUCGCUUUCUCUCCGUUCCGGCCUCUUGGCGCUGACGACUCCGCAAGCGGCGAUGGGGAAGCCGCGGGCGGUGCUGGCCCUGGCUGCGGCGGCGGCGGCAUUGCUCCUCUCCUUCUUGGCCGCCGCCGUAGGGGGGCAGGGCGCCGGGAGGAUCCAAGAGUAUAGGAAGUGCUGAUGAUGACUCUGCCAGGGGGCUCAAGGUGUAUAUGUAUAUCUAUGGUCUCCCUGAAAAAUACAACAAGCCGCUGAAGAAGGAACCUAGGUGCCUGAACUACAUGUUCGCCAUGGAGAUCUUCAUGGAACAGUUUCUGUUGCCGAGUGUGAUCCAGAUUUUAAUCCCGAGGAUGCAAUUUGGUUGUAUACAUGCUAUUCAGAUGUGCAGCGCAAUUGAGCAGAUUACGACGAAAUGACCUUACUGGAAUAGAUCAAGGGAGGGGAUCAUUUCUUUGUCACACACAUGACUUUGGUGCUUGCUUCCGUUAUGAGGAAGAGAAACCAAUUGUACGAGGAGUAGGCAUGCGCGGGUGUUUUUUGGUCAUCUCUUCUCCCAUGUAUUCCCUUGUGCUCUGGUUAGUUUGAACCUAUGUUGCAAGGGGCUGCAAUGCCUAUCGUAGGCAAAAGUGAAUGAAAAUUCAGAUACCCUUGCAGAUGUAUUUAUCUGGCUGAUGGCACUCGUUGGUAUCUGUAAAUAGCACACAGUAAGAUCUCUGAUCAUCUUUGCACCAUACGAAAUUUGUAUGCAAUCUGUCACACAAUAAUGCGUGCAAUUUUUACAACCAAACUAUCUACUUAUUUGACCCAUGGCACUAAUUUUGAGCUUGAAACAGCAACAAAUGUUUGUGUAUUUAGCAAUCUUCAUAUUUUUUGGCAUUCUGCCACAUCAUAGUGCCCCUCAGAUUUUCUGAAAUUAGUUGCGGGGGCAGAUAAAUCCUCGUGCUCAAAGCUACUUUAUGUUUGUUGAUUUUGCUAUGAACAAAUUUAUUUAUUUUGGGAAAAAUGUAAACCAUGUUGACUAUCUUAUGUAUCAACUGGUCGCGGGCAGUGAAAUUUAUCCCAACAGUCGUUGGAGCAGGAGCGGAUGGCUCUGGUGCCAUGGGGUUGGAAUUGGCUACAGAGACGUCAUGUCCCUGUUAACAUAUAACGGGAAGGAAUGAUGAAACGAAAAAGCAAAUCAUUCAAUUUUGUAUACUGUGGCACCGUUACAUGCUUGAAUGUGGCUGAAGAUUAUCCAUUUGAAGAGAAAGCUACUGUACGGCGAAUCCUUCCCUUGCUUCAGCGUCACACAUUGGUUCAGACCUUUGGACCAAAGAACCAUGUCCGUUUAAAGGCCAGCUCCAUCGUAAUUUCACCAUAUGCGCCUACACAGAAAAUGCAAGUUCCAUCUUCAUGUACUUCCGUGGUCUCUUCUACGACACCAGCAAUGGUUUGGCAGCACAGCACAUGGGGGCAAUGGACCAUCUGAAUACUCUAUGCUACUAUCAUUAUUUGUACUCUGAUUUGGCCCAUCUGACUUGAUUAUUUCAGUCUGCACAUGUUCUUUGGCACUUUGUUUUCAGACAAGAUUUGCUUUCUUUUCUGAAAAACUGUCAGACUACUCUUCAUAUAUGCUCGUAACUACUCCCUCCAUCCCACAAUAUAAAUGUCUUAUAUUAUGAGACGGAGGGAGUAGCUGGCUACUUGAAAGUAACUACCUGCCAUUCCAUACCAUAUUUCCUUGACUGAAAUCUCAUUGGUUAUUUUAUGUUUUAAGCACCAUCUUUUAUCGUUCCGUAACAAGUGCUUCCAAUGUUAUUUCAGGAAAAAGAAAGCAAUUGUAUGAAGAUUAGGGCAUGCACGGGUGUUUUUGUUGUUGUCUCUGUCUUCUCUCUUGCAUAAGCAAAAAUAAAUGAAAAUUCAGUGAAAUUUUUCCCGAUAACAAUUGGAGCUGGGGUGGAUGGUUCUGGUGCCAUGCUGUUGGAGUGGGGUACAGAGACGCUAUGUCCCUCUUUAACAGAUAAUGGAUAGAGAGGUGAAACAAAAAUGGAAAUCAUUUGGCUCUCAAUUAGUUAUAGCCUGACAACAUGCUUGAAUGUGGUUUGGGAGUAUGUAUUUGAACAUGGUUGUUCAGGACUUCGGACAGAAGAUCAUAUCUGCUUGAAGGGCGGCUCCGUUGCAAUUUCACCAUAUGCGCCUCCACAGAAAAUGCAAAAACCAUCUUCAUAUACUUACAUGGUUUCCUUCUAGAUCCCAAGGGUGGAUUACUGUGCAAGGUAAAAUGGCCGUCUGUUGGCCAACAAUACUCUUAUGCCCCUCUUCUUGUAUUUGUUGAUCUGACCUUUAACCCCACAGAGGUGCUUGUGCAUCUGCUGGGGAGAAGUUCAAGAACAACCUGCUCUUUGACAUCUCAACCGAUUGCCCACCCAUAGCUGUGGUUUUCUGUUAAAUCUUGAAGUUGUAACAGAUGAUGAUGAUCCGACUCCUGAAGCUGUUUGGUGUGUUUGGUUUGCAUCUGUUUGGUGUGUUUGUUUCCGAGGAGGAUGCUCCGACUCCUGAAGCUGGACAGUAUCCUGAAAAGAUGUUAUAGAGGAAGCAACCGACUUGUCGGAAACCCUUCGUAAUGAAGCAGGCUAUGGUGUUCGAGUGAUGGUACACGUAUACGAUAAAAUUUGAACCAUUCUUGUUUUCAA